UGAAGCCCUAAGUUAGGUCAAACAAAACACAAAAUUCCACAAGUCGGCUGCUAGUGUUCAGUUGUGGUAUCCCAUGAGUUCCAUGGAUUCCAGAAUCAGAAGUAAUGCGCCUCCCAUGUAUCCCAUAACCAUGUUUCCCAUGGAUCCCAGAACCAGAAGUAAUGCGCCUCUACUAUUUGAUAAUUAUCCGAGGGGUUUGAUGGAGGAAUAUGUCCGAUAAGUUACGUUAAGCGAGAUAUGCAGGGUUGUGAUUCGGAUAUUGACGUCUCCGAAUUUCAUGUUCUACUUGCCAUUAUACCAGUGCAGUUAGGUGAGAGAAUCACUCCUCUUGUCGAGGCAGCCAUCCACGAGUACAGCACGAACAAUAACAACGUAUUUCUUUCUGCUUGGUUGUUUGCUUAAUGCAGCUACCUUCUUUCUGACAGUUUUUCUUUUUCUAACUAAUGGUAGGUAUAUAUAUAUAUGUUGUUGCUCUUCAGAAUGCAAAUCUUCAUCUUGUGAGUAUCCUAAAGGUGAAUCAACAAACAGAUACCAACUGUAUGAGACUAUAGCUUAUGGGAAAGGCCGCCCCAAAGCACCGCCCAUUUACAGAAGCUUAGGUUGGUCGUGAAGGAUCAUCCUCUGCUGCCGGAGUUUAAUUAGGCCUCUUAACCUUCUGGAAGAGGGUGAAUUUCUAUUUGUUUUCUCGGCCAGAAUUUCAAGUCUUAGUCAUGAAACUUUUGUUAGUUAACCAAGUAGAUGCAAGGCUUGUUAAUGACAUGAACUGGGGACUUGCUGAACUGCAAACCAAUAAGAAAACUCAUUUGUUAUAUUGGUCCGCACAUUGGUGUCUUUUGUGCUAGCUUUCCUGUAUGUUUAAUGUGAAGAGAGGAGCCUAUUUUAAUAGUAGUUAAUUAUUAUAUCCUCUUAAUUAGAGGAUUAUAUCUACUAAAUAGUUGUACCUGACUUAUUUUUUAUUAUUUGUUGAUUAGAAUAUUGGAUCCUUUUGUUUGGAUUUUUUAGUAAUAUUUAUCUUUUAUUAUCUCUGUUUAUUACUAAUUAUUUCUUUAGGCCCUGUUUUUAUUAUUGCUAGUAUUGUUCUUGAGCAGUAUGGUUUACACUCCAGGUAGUAAUUAGGAUGCAUGUGUAAUUUCAGUGGAAGUUUUAGGGAACGAAACAGCAUUCUCAUCAUCACAAGAUAGUGUAUAUUAUCUUGUUAAUUAAGAUAUUUUCAUGUGAUUGUUAUCUCUUGUUAAUAUUAAUUUUAUCAAUGCUGUAUGUAUGUGUUGCCAGUAUAUACUUGAGUUGGGCCUUCCUGCAAGAUAAAGUAUAUGCUGGAACAUAAGUAUACGAUCAGUAUCUCUCAUUCACAUAUGAUUACAUGUUUCUUUUUGAGCCCAGUCUUUCAUUAGAGUGGCCUAUUAGGCUGCAUACCAUUAACCCAACUUGACGCGAUGCAUGUUUGCUUGCCUACUAGUGUAUCUGGAUGCCAUGUGCUUAUGGACGGUCCUGUGCCAAUUAGAUUUAUACCAUUGGCACGUAACAAAAUCAUAAGCUACAUUCUAGCUGCUCAAUGUUUUGUGUUUUCCUUCUUCUAUUUGAGGUAAAACUAUCAAUUGAGUGGCUAAAAUUUAUGUUUCACAAACCACAUGCAUUCACUCUUGUUAUUUGCAACUGCACUUUGUGUGUACUUGGUGCUUAUGAACGGUCUUGUGCUGAUAAAAUGGUUUGUCAUCAGCACGUGACAAAAAUAUAAG